ACUUUUUCUUUUUCAACUGGUUUUAAAAUAAUUUCUUCCUCUGUUUCUUCCUCUUUAGAAAGUUUUCUAACAGGUUUCAACACAAUUUGUUCUGGUUUCGGCUCCUCGGGUUUUUCUAUCUUUUUCACUGGCUUGAAUCGGAUCUUCUCCGGUUU